CAUAUGCGUGAUGUCUUAAUAGGGAUAGAAUUUUUUUUGCUGAAUCGCAUCUCUAUUGAUACUAUAAGAUCAUAUAGCAGCAUGUUUAUGGUUCAGUUCUCUGCUUAGCAUAUUAGCGCAAGUUUCUGCAUCAGUGUCUAUUUGAACAUAUCCUGGUCAGCAGCAUCAAACAAGUUUGAUUUGUAAGUGCAAACAAUUUGGAGAAGUGAUUGUGUAUAGUGCAGCAUACAUUUACAUAUUCACUUCAUCACUUGAAUGCAGGAAAGAAGAGGUAGAGAAAUGCACAAAAUGUACCUGCAGCUUCCUGAGCAUUGCCUUCAUUAUGAGCGAGAGCAUCAGCUUCAUCAUCAGCUGCAGCCGUGCCUCCAGGCACGGUGUUGAGGACGAAGAUGCGCACACGUGUUAGUUGCUUGCUUGCCGGUGUUGGAGUUGGAUGCUAGUUGCACGCUAGAAUUGAUGCUUGUUCAAGAGUUGGGGUCAAAAUUGCCUUUGUAUAUGUUUUAAUUUUCUUAUAGUUCUUCAUAAAUUUGUUUAUUUGGUCUCAAAAAGUUGCUUCAUGUAACUGUUGAGUUUGAAUGGUAGUAUUAGUGAAAUAGAAAUAAUAUAAUGUGAGCAGAUUAAGAGAGGGGUGAUGGAUAUAAUUCUAGUAGAAAAUUGCUCGUGAUAUUAGUAGAAAGUUGCUUGUAAUAUAAUGGAAGGCAGAUUUUUUUAUUCUAA